CGAAGGGGGCUAGCGUUGUUCGGAAUUACUGGGCGUAAAGCGCGUGUAGGCGGUUGUCCAAGUUGGAUGUGAAAGCCUUGAGCUCAACUCAAGAAAUGCAUUCAGGACUGGAUGACUAGAGGACCGGAGAGGAUAGUGGAAUUCCCAGUGUAGUGGUGAAAUACGUAGAGAUUGGGAAGAACACCAGUGGCGAAGGCGGCUAUCUGGACGGUUUCUGACGCUAAGACGCGAAAGCGUGGGGAGCAAACAGGAUUAGAUACCCUGGUAGUCCACGCCGUAAACGAUGGGUGCUAGACGUUGGCGAGCUUGCUCGUCAGUGUCGCAGCUAACGCGUUAAGCACCCCGCCUGGGGAGUACGGCCGCAAGGUUG
rnacentral:rRNA from 1 species